AUUGAACGCUGGCGGAAUGCUUUACACAUGCAAGUCGAACGGCAGCACGGACUUCGGUCUGGUGGCGAGUGGCGAACGGGUGAGUAAUACAUCGGAACGUGCCCAGUCGUGGGGGAUAACGUAGCGAAAGCUACGCUAAUACCGCAUACGAUCUAAGGAUGAAAGCGGGGGGUCGCAAGACCUCGCGCGAUUGGAGCGGCCGAUGGCAGAUUAGGUAGUUGGUAGGGUAAAGGCCUACCAAGCCGACGAUCUGUAGCUGGUCUGAGAGGACGACCAGCCACACUGGGACUGAGACACGGCCCAGACUCCUACGGGAGGCAGCAGUGGGGAAUUUUGGACAAUGGACGCAAGUCUGAUCCAGCCAUUCCGCGUGCAGGAUGAAGGCCCUCGGGUUGUAAACUGCUUUUGUACAGAACGAAAAGGCUCUGGUUAAUACCUGGAGCUCAUGACGGUACUGAAGAAGAAGCACCGGCUAACUACGUGCCAGCCGCCGCCGUAA
rnacentral:rRNA from 1 species